rnacentral:rRNA from 1 species
GCGAGCGGCGGAUGGGUGAGUAACACGAGGGGAAACCUGCCCCAUAGUCUAGGAUACCACUUGGAAACCGGUGCUAAUACCGGAUAAGAAAGCAGAUCGCAUGAUCAGCUUUUAAAAGGCGGCGUAAGCUGUCGCUAUGGGAUGGCCCCGCGGUGCAUUAGCUAGUUGGUAAGGUAAAGGCUUACCAAGGCGAUGAUGCAUAGCCGAGUUGAGAGACUGAUCGGCCACAUUGGGACUGAGACACGGCCCAAACUCCUACGGGAGGCAGCAGUAGGGAAUCUUCCACAAUGGACGCAAGUCUGAUGGAGCAACGCCGCGUGAGUGAAGAAGGUUUUCGGAUCGUAAAGCUCUGUUGUUGGUGAAGAAGGAUAGAGGUAGUAACUGGCCUUUAUUUGACGGUAAUCAACCAGAAAGUCACGGCUAACUACGUGCCAGCAGCCGCGGUAAUACGUAGGUGGCAAGCGUUGUCCGGAUUUAUUGGGCGUAAAGCGAGCGCAGGCGGAAGAAUAAGUCUGAUGUGAAAAGCCCUCGGCUUAACCGAGGAACUGCAUCGGAAACUGUUUUUUCUUUGAGUGCAGAAAGAGGAGAGUGGAACUCCAUGUGUUAGCGGUGGAAUGCGUAGAUAUAU